rnacentral:rRNA from 1 species
AGCAGCAGCCAUAUCACCCUGCAACUCACAACUGGCAGCCCACUGAAGCUCAGCAGGUGUGAGCCUGGUCAGUACCUGGAUGGGAGACCUCCUGGGAGAAACUAAGGUUGCUGCUGUAA